rnacentral:rRNA from 1 species
UACGUAGGCAGCAAGCGUUGUUCGGAAUUACUGGGCGUAAAGAGUGUGUAGGCGGUGCUCCAAGUCUGGUGUGAAAUCUCCCGGCUUAACUGGGAGGGUGCAUUAGAAACUGGAAUGCUAGAGGAUGGGAGAGGUAAGCGGAAUUCCUGGUGUAGCGGUGAAAUGCGUAGAUAUCGGAAGGAACACCAGUGGCGAAAGCGGCUUCCUGGUCCAGCACCGACGUCAGGCACGAAAGCGUGGGGAGCAAACAGG